UCUGCCAAGAAGUCGAAACCCUCCGCCUUUAGUUGCCAUCACGUUUGGGUGGGCACUCUAAAGGAACUGCCGGUGACAAGCCGGAGGAAGGUGGGGAUGACGUCAAGUCCUCAUGGCCCUUAUGUCCUGGGCUACACACGUGCUACAAUGGCGGUGACAGUGGGAAGCCAGGUGGUGACACCGAGCCGAUCUCAAAAAGCCGUCUCAGUUCGGAUUGCACUCUGCAACUCGAGUGCAUGAAGGUGGAAUCGCUAGUAAUCGCGGAUCAGCAUGCCGCGGUGAAUACGUUCCCGGGA
rnacentral:rRNA from 1 species